AUUGAACGCUGGCGGCAUGCUUUACACAUGCAAGUCGAACGGCGGCGCGGGCUUCGGCCUGGUGGCGAGUGGCGAACGGGUGAGUAAUAAACCGGAACGGACCAAGAAGUGGGGGAUAAAGAAGAGAAAGAUAAGCUAAUACCGCAUACAAUCUAAGGAUGAAAGCAGGAGAUCGCAGGACGUUGUGCUUUUGGAGGGGCCGGUUUCUGAUUAGCUAGUUGGUGAGGUAAAGGCUCACCAAGGCGACGAUCAGUAGCUGGUCUGAGAGGACGUCCAGCCACACUGGAACUGAGACACGAUCCAGACUCCUACGGGAGGCAGCAGUGGGGAAUUUUGGACAAUGGGGGCAACCCUGAUCCAGCAAUGCCGCGUGAGUGAAGAAGGCCUUCGGGUUGUAAAGCUCUUUUGUCAGGGAAGAAACGGGAGUGGCUAAUAUCCAUUCCUAAUGACGGUACCUGAAGAAUAAGCACCGGCUAACUACGUGCCAGCCGCCGCGGUAACAC
rnacentral:rRNA from 1 species